CAAGGUUGUUCUUAUCAACUCUGGUCGACCCCUGAGCUUAUCCAGAGUCCCCAGGAACUGAGGAGAAGAUAAGGAUUUCCCUCUCUUUCUCUUUCUAAAGUUUUGGGGAUUUUGUAAGUAAAAGUGAAGAUUUAAGCUUGUUUUCCUCUUCUCUCUUGUUUGUUAUCGGUUUGGUGAGUUGGAGCAGCGGUGGAUGAGUAGAACUGAGUUUUGGGGAGAGGAAUUUCGUGACCUAACUCAGUAGGAAGCUGAGUUGGAGCUUUAUGAGCUGAAUUGGGAAGGUUUAAAGGAGCCAUAGAGAAGUUGGUGUGCUGUGAUUUUACAACCUGGAACCAGGGAUAAUCUGAGAUGAGGUUUGCAAGUUUUGCGGUGUGAUCACAACUGAUAUGCAGCGGACAUGAUAUUCACUUCGAGCUAAAUUUUGUGAUCAUUGUAAGCUGGAUUUGAAGUGCUUCAACCUACGUGAAGUGAAGGUUUAACUUUGGUUUAAAUCUAAAGUGUUUUGAAGGCUUCUGGUCGCUAUGAACUAAAUGUUAAUGAUUCUUGAAGAUUGAGGAUGAAAAGCUUCAACUUGGUUACAAAAAGGAAGGUCAAGAGCAGAUUCUAAACUAGGGUAUUUGGAAGCUAAUGAAUAUCUUUGCUUGCAGGAGCAACAAGAGUCGACGGUGAUUAGGUGGGUCGGAUCUUUCCGAAAUGGGUGAAUUCCCUCUAUGUCCCCUUUUACAUUAUGAGUGAAUGUAUUGUAUGUUUAUGUGAACAAGAGUAUACUUGAAAGGAAUUGAGACACGCAUCUAUGUGCAUACCCUAUCAGAUAUGAUAGGAUUUCCAUAUAGUAGAGGAAGAAUUAUGGAAUUGCCUAUUUCCAUAGAUCAUCUAGCUUUAUUGGACGAUAAGGGAACUACGUACUUGGAAAUAAUCACACAAACCUGUGUUCUAAACAUUGUGCUUGAACUCUUAGUUUAUUAUAUAUACUGAAGUUGUUUAUACAUUCAU